rnacentral:lncRNA from 1 species
GAUGAGCAUCUCAGAACUACCUCAGAUGGAAAUAUGGCUCAUAGAACUGCUGCAAUUGCUGGGAGUUAUGAUUCACCUUCAGCUUCGCAACCAGAGGCAUUGAAACAGGAAGCCUCUGAAGCUGCACAGGGAAAUCAAUACAACUUUCCUUCAUCUGCUUCUGGUUAUACUUUUGAAACCUCUCAACAGUUGAAUCCUGCAUUCCCUCAUUCACAGACUAGCUCUCAGAUGCAGAAUCUUGCUCCUUUUUCGAGUGUAAUGGUAAUGACAAACUACAAACUUCCACUAUUCCAGGUUUUUCGGAAUCAAUUAUUUUUGUUCUGAUUAUUUCAGUUAUUUUAAAACUUAUAUAUUGGUUAACUAAAUGGAACUUUUUGUGUGUGAACUUUAAAACAUUUUUGCUGGUCAUUUUUAAAGAGAGUUAAUGUUUUGUAAGUGAAAGAAAGUUCUAUUAUAAAACCUUGACUAAGUUUCAAAAUGUCAAGGUACUGAUUUGAAUGCUAGUUUUACCUAAAUUGUGAAAAUUUUGGGAAAUAUUGGGGACAUGCCAAAAAUUCACUUGAAACUUUUGGCCUACUUGGAUGGAUAUUAAUGUAUGCUUUGUUCACAAAUGCUUGUGUAUUUAAGUAGAAGUUUUUGUGGGCAGAAAUUCUCUUUGAUUGGUUGUAUGAUAUAUUUCUAUGGAAGAUAACAUAUGAUAUUAGUAGUAGAUAAUUGUUUUAUUAUCACUUUGUGAGGUCGAUAUGGUUGCUUGUGGUGCAGAUAUGACAUAUUAUCACAAUGACUUUCUAAAUCCAGGAUAGAGGAACAUGGCUUUGUAAUUCUAAUUUGUGUAUCUAUUUUAUGAAGCAUGUCUUUUAUCUGGGACUGUGUUUGUGACUUGUAUUGUAUGUGGAUAAACAGUAUAUAUUUUCCUUCAUUAUUGAUUCUAAACUUUAUUUUUAAUUGUUAAUAAGGUUGUACUAAAAGAAUGGAAACAUUAUUAAAUGGCUACUUGUUUUAACAUGAACGGUAAAAGAUAAUAUUAUAUAACCAUUAAAUAAUAUCCUCAAAAGCCUCAAUACUAUCAUAGUUUAUCUAAUAGUGAAGAAGCUGAAAUGUACUGGCACAUCGUAAAAGGGAAAUCUUUUACCGGUUUUCCAAGCAUUUUGGAAGUAAAUUAAGGUUGAUGUAUUUGUGUCUUAGUUAGAAUUGUGAACUUAUAAGACCAAUAUUAGAAUAAUAUAUGUGCCUCCUGAAGCAUUUGUCAUGUCUUGCGUUACUGAUUUGGUGGCUUUUUGGUUAUCUAUUCUUCAGUUCAGGUUAGCAUUUUUAUAUCCCCCUCCCCCUUGUUCCCAUAGUUGCAGAUGGCUGUUUUAUCCUUCUGCUAUUCUUUCUGUACUCCUUGAUGAUACAUCUAAAGCUUGCUGUGGUCCAGAUGCUCUUUUCUAUGUACUGCUUUUUCAAGUUGCUGGUACUACUUUUACUAAGUUGUACCUGGUAUCACACUGACUUCAUUCCAUAGUCAUUUUCCUGGUAUUAGAUUUUAAGAACAAAUUAUUGUUGUUACAGUCCUCAUGCAUUUGCUUAUGUAAUGCUUGUACAUGUCUCUUGAUGCUAUUACUAAGUUGUAAGUGGUGUCACACUGACUGCACCCAUCUAUUAGAUUUUAAGUACAAAUUAUAUAAUUGUCAGAAUAUAUGAUUCACUGAAACUCCUGCACAGUGACUCAGGUACUUAUAUGACAUACCUGGAACAUUUCUAUUUUAACAAUGCCAUUACUGUUUUAACUGUUAAAUUGGUUUCCUAUUAAUAAUGCCAUUUAUCGUUCUUGUUUUGUUAAUAUAUGUGCAUGCUGCUGCAUCUCUCUUCUUUAUGGUUGCUUCAUUGCUUUUUUUUUUUCACCUUUAUUUUUAUACAAAAUUUUGAUGAAUGACAUUUAUCGUUUUAAAUGAAAAACCUCACUUUUAUGUUGUAAUAGCAGGCAUAUACCAAUUCGUUACCCAGCAACUUGUUGGCAUCAACUGUUCCGCCUGCAAGAGAGUCUGAUCUUCCAUACUCCCCCUUUCCUAUUACACAAUCAAUGUCGACAAAGUACAGCAAUGCAGUGUCUUCAAUCAGUGGUUCAACCAUUUCUGUGACAGAGGUAUCCCAUCGAAAACAACUCAUUGAAUUUCUUUUCCCAAGAAUUUGAGAUCAAUUAGUUCAUUCUGGAAAUGAGAACUAACAUGGAUGUUUCCUCAAUCUCAUAGGGGAUUUUGCCCUUUCUAAUAGAUGGAUGGCAUGUUUGUUAUAAUAAAAUUAGAGUAAGCGAGCAAUAUGGAUACAAAUGCUGUGAUAACCUUGGUGACUGAAACUUUUACAUUUGAAGGAUAUUGUGAAUUCAGCAAAAUAUUUUCCAAAUACUCUUGGCUGACUACCUAGUUUGAUGUCUUAUGUUAAACCUUGGAAGCACUAAUUGGAGUAUGGGUGGCAGAUUAUAGGGUGGGGUUGAGGAAGUGCAUUUGUAAGUUGGUUCUAAGUUUUAGGCAUACACGCAUGUGGAUGGUUUUACCAAUAAAGAUAUAUCUGGAAUGUUGAUAGAAUGGAGUUGUGCUUGUCUUAUUUCAAAACUUGAUCAUAUGAUUGGUUAAUAACUUUUUCCUUGUCUUAUGAAAAUUUUAGCCUAAUUUACUUAUCCAAAAAAAAAAAGAAGAAAAUUUUAGCCUAAAGGCACUUAUUUUAUUUCUAGGAAUUUUUUAUGCUAAUUUCAGAGUCAAGAUGCCUAUUGUUUGUGUUAUUGUAUUAUUUUUUCUUUCUUUUAUGAAAUAUUUAAUUUUCUUGAUGACUGAGUAAUCCAAGCUAUACUAUGGUACUCAUGUACAAACUAUCUACAAAAUCAAGGAGUAGUUGAUUUCCUCCCUAAAGCAGCUAAGUGUCUAGCCACCUAUAGAGUUUGCUUAGAAUCUUCCAGAACUCUUCCGUUCCUUUCCUUCCAUAUAGUUCAGAACACAUGUAAAGGUGUCAUCCUUUACCAACUUCAUUCUUUGACCCACCCACAAAUUUGUCAUGCCUCCCACUGACAUGACAGACUUCCCUUGGAAGGACUCAAGCCAGUCCAAAUAAAGAAACCACCAAAAACUAAACCGGAUGUCCAGUGAUAGCUUAGAACAUAAUCCGCUGAUUCUUCAUGUUGCUUGCAAAGACAACAGCCAUUCGUUAAAGUUCAACCUCUCUUCAUUAAAUCAUCAUUUGUGAGAAUAUUUUCCCAAAUUGCCUUCCAAUUGAAAAACCUAAUCUUAGAUGACACUAUAGAAGCUCAAAUCUCUCUAGCUAGGAAGGACCAUGUGUUAGAGACUUGUAUGAAUUAACUGAGAAUAUGUCGAUCUUGGAUGCCUUCUGUACUAGCUUAUCCUUGGAGUCAACCUGAAUGUACAUCAAAGGUGCAAAAACUCUUCCACCAGCUCCAAAUCCCAAUCAAAGAUGGUUCAUGUUAAACUAGGAUUCCAACAUGUUGCCCCACCUUUCCUUGCCUCCCAAUAUUCCACAACACAAGUAUCACAGAUAUAGUGAAAAGAGCUUUUUCAGACACUUAUAUUCACUCCUAGAAUCCUAAAGUGAAAUGCAAGGAGGGUAGAUGUUUGGUAUUACAGAAGGAACUCUAGGAAUCACUUCUAGAAACCUUUAGGCUUCACACCUAGGUGCUCUUUGUAUCACAAAAAGAAUAUAGUAGAUGCUGGAAAAUUUGAUCAUUCAUUCAUUCAUUGAUUUCUUUUAGAAGACAGAUCAACUACAAUAUAGAAGUUAUUUAGAGACUUAUAACUGUAGUAAUGCAGCUUGAAAUAAACUUAGACUAACUACCAUACCACAUUAAAAGACUUUUGGACAAUGAUAACAUUAAUGACUGAAAAUAAUAACUUAUGACCAUUGAUUAGGCCCAGAAUCUGACUUCUGGAAAGUAUUUCUAGGCUGAACCCAUAUUGAAUUAUAUGAGAUCCCAGCUAAGCCCAUGAUCAUUAAAGCUUGGGCAUUAGAGCCCAUUCCCUUGUGCCUUUGGUAAACUAUUAAAGGUGCCUGCCACUUGUCUCCAUCAAGUGUUCUCAUUUCUAUUAUGUUCAUUUAUGGACAAUUUCUUUCUUUUAUUUUUUGAGUCUUCACUAUCCUAUGUUAUAAGAUUGGAUGCUCUUGUGAAGGUUCAUUUAAUUUGAUAGUCACAGGCUCACAUGAGAUGCCAAAAGCACUUAUUUACUUCAUCUAUAUGCCCUAGUUCAACAGGCAGUAUCAUCUUCUAACCACCUUCUUCAUCUCCUCCUCCUAGACACUGGUCUUGUAGCUAUCGAUAUAAAAUUUUGGUUUAAAUUCAGUCAGGUACUUGCAUGACACUUCUUUACUUGGUCCAUCUGCUCUGUUUUAACAAGUGAUGUCCUUUUGAAAGCCCCGCUUCUUCCUCCUAGAUGAUUGAUCUAAGAUAGUAACACAAUCCACUCUGGCUUCCACUUUCUACUUGCCAUCAAUUUUAGCCAUUCCCUUGUUCUACUACUAAAUUUAACAUAGUUUCCAUUUGUUAUUUGUCUCCCACUUUUCUUGAAUCUUUUGAUCCUAAAAUAUCUCCUGCUGCCUAAAUUUUAAGUUCAUUAAUCUGCAAACAACAUAUCCUUCUAUUUGUGUAAUUGUUUUUGUUCCCCCUUCUUUGUUUUGUACUCUCCCCCAUUGGCUGUAACUUGGGUCUGUUGUCUGUACUUCGGGUGCUCCUUUUUAGGUCUCUUUUAUGUAUUUGAUUGUUACCUCUCAAAAAGAUGCACACUAUUGUGUGAUAGAAGAAUGACAAAAUUUGAUCAGCUAAAUUUUUUUUUGUAAUCAACAAGAAGACCUCCAGCAAAAUCCUUCAAAUUUGGAGAUAAAACAUAAAAGUACAUGGGUUCCAAAACCUCUGUGUCUAUUAUCCGUUUUUAAAAAGAACAUUGGUUCAUUUCAUUGCAUAACCUCUGGAAAAUAGAAAAAUUUAUGUUUGAUCUCCUUUCUCUAGCCUAUUAUCCGACAAUGUUGUUUCAUUUUAUUCUGUUGUAUAUUUUUGGAGUAAUGUUUUUUUUUUUUUCUUUUCCUCAUUGCAUGAAAUAGAACCUGGAAAUUCCUCAUCCUUGUCCUUUGCCACUUGAGCCAGGCCUGAAACCCACUUCAAAUCCAAACACACUCACAUCAUGCUACAAGGGAUAGAAUGUGAUGUCAUGCAGUCAAAUGCAAAAUCACAAUGAAUAUGAUUCAAAAAGGAUUCACUCAUGCAUAAUGAGAAGAAUUUUAUCUUUAGAACUUAAUGUCCCACCAAUGGGCUGUAGCUCAGUUGGCAUAUUGAAAGGGCAACCUCAGGAGGAUUGGGAGUUUGAGUCAACUAAGCCAGGGUUGUGCUGCCUAAAACUAAAAAACCAAUUUAUGAUUUCGUUGAGAAGACUUGGCCUAGCAGAUGGAGAUAAUAGAUGAUAGGNNNNNNNNNNNNNNNNNNNNNNNNNNNNNNNNNNNNNNNNNNNNNNNNNNNNNNNNNNNNNNNNNNNNNNNNNNNNNNNNNNNNNNNNNNNNNNNNNNNNAAAUGACAGAGGGGGCAAAUGACAGAGGGAAGAGGAAUUGUUUUAAAGUUGGGAUAAAAACCCAGAAAGCAGAUUUGGGGUGUUUCCAAGAAAAAAAAUUCCGGGGGAUGAGGAGUGCAUUUUUGGGGAUUUUAGGGGUAGGAAAAUUUUUGAAAUGGGGGGUUUUAAUUUCAGGGGGGGGGGGGGGGGGGUGUUCUGGGACAAUAGGGUGUUGCAGUUGGAGGAAAUGGAGGUGGGCAAUUAUUCAGUUUCUUGCCGGUUCAAGAAUGUUGAGGAUGGAUUUUGCUGGGCGUUUUCAGGAGUUUAUGGGCCCUCUGUGAAGGUGGAGAAAGAGGAGUUUCUGAGCGAAUUGGGGGCCAUCAAAGGGCUGUGGAAUGAACCGUGGUGUGUUGCUGGCGACUUCAACAUGAUAAGAUUCCCUACUGAGCGGAGCCAAGGAGGUCGCCUGUCCCCAUCAAUGCAGAGAUUCACAGAAGUGAUAGAGGAGUUAGAGUUAAGGGAUUUACCCCUUCAGGGAGGGAUGGUCACGUGGAGUGGAGGUUUUAAUAAUCUCUUAAAAUCGAGAAUUGACCGGUUUCUUAUCUUUGAAGAUUGGGAAGCUCAUUUCCGGGAGUGUAUUCAAGGUGUUUUGGCUAGACUGGUAUCAGAUCAUUCUCCAAUUAUUCUUGAUGGAGGGGGGAUGACGAGAGGGCCCACACCUUUCAGAUUCGAGAACAUGUGGCUGAAGGAGGAAGGCUUCAAAGAGGUGCUGAGGAAAUGGUGAGAGGGGAUCCAGAUUAGUGGGACAGCCAGUUACAUUUUGAGCGAGAAAUUAAAGGCUUUAAAGCCGAUUCUGAAAAAAUGGAACACAGAGGUUUUCAAACAGAUUAAGGUUAAGAAGCAAGAGGCUUGGAAUUCUGGGACAAGGAAGAGAGGGUCCGCGAAUUGUCCUUGGAAGAGGAAGAAGUAGGAAGGAGGCAAGAGAGAUGUAUAAGAAGUGGGUCCUUUUAGAAGAAACGUCAUGGAGGCAGAAGUCCAGGGAAAUUUGGCUGAAAAGAGGGGGAUAGAAAUACAAGGUUUUUUCAUCAGAUGACUAAUGCUCAUAGAAGAAGGAAUCAGAUGAAUAGAGUCAAAGUGAACGGGAGAUGGUACAAUGAGGAAAGGGAGAUCAAAGAGGUGGUGUGCAGGGUGUACCAGGGGCUGCUGGCAGACCCGGGGGGGUGGAAGCCUAGGAUAGAUGCUUUGAUGUUUGAAAGGUUGGAAGAGGGGGAUGUGGAGGGGCUAGAGAAGCCUUUCACGGAGGAGGAGGUUUUUAGGGCACUGUCAGAUUGUUAUGGCGAGAAAGCACCAGGCCUUGACGGUUUUUCAAUGGCUUUUUGGCAAUUUUCGUGGGAAUUUGUUAAAGAGGAGGUAAUGAACUUCUUCAGGCAGUUCCAUGAGACUGGGAGCUUUGUAAGAAGUUUGAAUGCAACUUUCCUAGUGCUGAUUCCUAAGAAAGGGGGGGCAGAGGACUUGAAGGAUUUUAGGCCAAUUAGCUUGGUGGGAGGGUUGUAUAAGUGGCUAGCUAAGGUGUUGGCUAAUAGAAUGAAGGGUGUCUUAGCCAAGGUCAUCUCAACGUCCCAAAACGCUUUCGUGGAGGGACGGCAGAUUAUGGAUGUAGGGCUGGUCGCUAAUGAGGCAAUUGACUCCAUUGUGAAAAGCAAUAGAGGGGCGAUUCUUUGUAAAUUAGACAUUGAGAAAGCCUAUGAUCACGUGGAUUGAGAUUUUCUUUUAGCAGUGAUGGAGAAGAUGGGGUUUGGGGAAAGAUGGUGCAGGUGGAUAAAGUGGUGUCUAUCCACAGUUAGGUACUCAGUUAUGGUGAAUGGAAGCCCUACGGGUUUUUUCCAAAGCUCAAGGGGGUUAAGGCAAGGAGACCCCUUGUCGCCGUACCUUUUUGUAGUGGUGAUGGAGGCUUUCAGUGUUUUGAUAAAGAAGGCAGUGGCUGGGGGGUUUUUGGCGCCUUGUUUGAUUUGGGGAAGAAGAGGCGAAAGGGUCCAGAUAUCACAUUUGUUGUUUGCUGAUGAUACGCUGAUAUUUUGUGAAGCAAAGGAGGAUCAGUUAUUGUAUAUGAGCUGGUUGUUAAUGUGGUUUGAGGCAAUUUCAGGGUUAAGAGUAAAUCUGGAGAAAAGUGAGCUGAUUCCGGUUGGUAGAGUCGAGAAUGUGGAUGAGUUGGCUGAUGAGUUUGGUUAUAGGGUGGGAAAACCGCCUUCCACUUAUUUAGGAAUGCCAUUAGGUGCCCCGUUUAAAAGCGUUGUAGCGUGGGAUGGAAUAGAAGAAAGAUUCAGAAAGAAAUUGGCUAUGUGGAAGCGUCAGUACAUUUCAAAAGGGGGGAGGAUUACUCUAGUGCGUAAUACAUUGGCAAAUUUACCGAUUUAUUUUAUGUCGAUUUUCCAGAUGCCUAGAGUGGUUAGAAUCAGAUUGGAGAAGAUUCAAAGGGACUUUUUGUGGGGUGGCGGGGCUCUAGUGCAAAAACCACAUUUAGUUUGGUCAAUUGUAUGUUUAGACAAAAGAAGCGAAGGGUUGGGGGUUAAGAAUCUUGGGGCCUUCAAUAGGGCUCUCCUUGGCAAAUGGGUGUGGCGUUUUGCAAAUGAAAGAAAGGCUUUGUGGAACCAAGUGAUCAGAGGGAAAUACGGGGAGGAAAGAGGAGGGUGGAGAUCUUGUGAGUCUAGGGAGGCCUACGGGUUUGGGUUGUGGAAGGCAAUAAGUAAAAUGGGACAUCAAGUGACCCCUUUUGUUGGCUUUGUGGUGGGUGAUGGUGAGAAAGUGAAGUUUUGGAAAGAUAAAUGGUGUGAAACCAUCCCUUUGAGCGAGGCUUUUCCUUCUUUAUUUGCUUUAGCUUCGAACAAAGAGGCUUGGGUAAAUGAAGUGUGGACAGCCGAGGGGGAAUGGGGGGGAAGUUGGAACCCUUGUUUCAAUAGACCUUUCAACGAUUGGGAGUUGGAAGAAGUGGAAAGGCUAUUUUGUUGCUUGGAGGGGAAGAAGGUUAGGGGGGAUGAGGAGGAUAAGGUGAAGUGGAUGGCAUCAAAGGAUGGGGAUUUCUCGGUGAAAUCUUUGUAUAGGACUAUGCAGCUGGGGUCUCUUGCUUUUUUCCCUUCAAAAAUUAUAUGGAACUCGUGUGUGCAGCCCAAAUUGAGCUUUUUUGCGUGGGAGGCUUCUUGGGGGAGAGUUCUAACCUUGGAUCGCUUGCAAAAAAGAGGUUGGGUUAUGGAAAAUAGAUGUUUUCUUUGCCAUAAGAGUGAGGAGACAAUUGAUCACCUUCUGAUCCAUUGUGAAAAAACGAGGGAAGUAUGGAUGGUGUUCCUUUCCUUUUUUGGUGUUUCGUGGGUUUUCCCCCGUUCGGUCAAGGAAACCCUUUUAGGGUGGAGGGGGUCUUUUGUGGGAAAGAAAAGGAAGGUGGCAUGGCAAUUGGGACCAUUAUGCUUGUUUUGGGUUAUUUGGAAGGCUAGAAAUUCAAUUGCAUUUGAGGAUUGUGAGCUGUCCAUUCAAAGGCUGAAAGCAUCUUUUGUGUAUUUUUUGUGGUCGGAAUCCAAAUUGUGGAUAAAAGAUGGUCCUUCGACCUUAAUAGAUUUUAUAAACUGGGUGUGUAUGCGUUAAGGGAGAGGUUUUUUUGUUUUGCCUUGUCCUUUGAUGUUUGGGCCCUUUUGUAAGGAGGUAAGUCCCUUUAUACUGUAAUUUGGUGGGUCACUUCUUUAGCCCCUCUUUGCAAUACAAUCUUAUACUUAUUGAUCAAAAAAAAAAAAUAGAUGAUAGGGGCAACAUGAAUAUGUUAAAGCUAAAAUGCAAAAUAGAAACAACUGAAUUUUUUUUCUUAUUCCAGUAUUGUUUUCUGUGCAGGCUUUGAAGACCGGUAGUUUUUCAACACCUCAACCAACUCCACAGACCCUGCCCAGUACUAGCGUUGCCACUGGACCUGCUCUUCCUCAACACCUUCCUCCUGUGCAUCCAUAUUCCCAGCCCGGUCUUCCUUUGGGACACUUUGCUAACAUGAUUGGCUACCCUUUUUUACCUCAGAGCUAUACAUACAUGCCAUCUGCUUACCAGCAAGCAUUUGCUGGUAAUAGCACCUACCAUCAAUCUCUGGCAGCAGUUCUGCCUCAGUAUAAAAAUAGUGUUUCUGUCAGCAGCUUGCCUCAGUCUGCAGCCAUAGCAUCUGGUUAUGGGGCCUUUGGGAGUUCAACCAGCAUUCCUGGAAACUUUUCACUGAAUCCACC